CCCAAUGAACGAGAAGAACGUGUGAUGGAUGGCUUGCUGGUGAUUGCCAUGAACAAACAUCGAGAGAUUUGUACUAUCCAGUCCAGUGGUGGGAUAAUGCUACUAAAAGAUCAAGUUCUGAGAUGCAGUAAAAUCGCUGGUGUGAAAGUAGCAGAAAUUACAGAGCUAAUAUUGAAAGCUUUGGAGAAUGACCAAAAAGUAAGGAACUUGGGGCACACUUGAAUCAAUCUUACAAGAAGAAAACUUUCAUUCUCAUCUUCAACAGUUCAUCAAAUAGCAAUAUUUUUGUUACUCAGUUUUCUUAACUUGUUAAGUGUUUCUACACCUGUGCUAUGGACUCCUGGAACUGCCCAAAUUGGAGAGGGAGUAGAAAACUCCUGGGGUGAUCUUGAAGACUCUGAGAAGGAAGAUGAUGAAGGCGGUGGUGAUCAAGCUAUCAUUCUUGAUGGUAUAAAAAUGGACACUGGAGUAGAAGUCUCUGAUAUUGGAAGCCAAGAUGCUCCCAUAAUACUCUCAGAUAGUGAAGAAGAAGAAAUGAUCAUUUUGGAACCAGACAAGAAUCCAAAGAAAAUAAGAACACAGACCACCAGUGCAAAACAAGAAAAAGCACCAAGUAAAAAGCCAGUGAAAAGAAGAAAAAAGAA
rnacentral:lncRNA from 10 species